rnacentral:rRNA from 1 species
AGCGAACGCUGGCGGAAUGCUUAACACAUGCAAGUCGCACGGGGGCUUCGGCCUUAGUGGCGGACGGGUGAGUAACGCGUAGGAAUGUGUCCGAGGGUGGGGAUAACGUUGGGAAACUGACGCUAAUACCGCAUAUCCCCUGAGGGGGAAAGCAGAGAUGCGCCCACGGAGCAGCCUGCGUCCGAUUAGCUAGUUGGUUAGGUAAAGGCUGACCAAGGCGACGAUCGGUAGCUGGUCUGAGAGGAUGAUCCGCCACACUGGGACUGAGACACGGCCCAGACUCCUACGGGAGGCAGCAGUGGGGAAUUUUGGGACAAUGGGCGCAAGCCUGAUCCAGCCAUGCCGCGUGAGUGAAGAAGGCCCUUCGGGUUGUUAAAGACUCUUUUGUUCAGGAAGAAACAGCAGCUCUAACACAGUCUGCGAAUGACGGUACCUGAAGAAUAAGCACCGGCUAACUACGUG